UACGUAGGGUGCAAGCGUUGUCCGGAAUUAUUGGGCGUAAAGAGCUCGUAGGCGGUCUGUCGCGUCGGCUGUGAAAUCCCGAGGCUCAACCUCGGGUCUGCAGUCGAUACGGGCAAACUAGAGUAUUGCAGGGGAGACUGGAAUUCCUGGUGUAGCGGUGAAAUGCGCAGAUAUCAGGAGGAACACCGGUGGCGAAGGCGGGUCUCUGGGCAGUGACUGACGCUGAGGAGCGAAAGCGGGUGGGACGCAACAGGAUUAGAACCUAC
rnacentral:rRNA from 1 species